rnacentral:rRNA from 1 species
GAUGAACGCUGGCGGCGUGCCUAAUACAUGCAAGUCGAGCGAAGCGGGGACGGGUGAGUAACACGUGGAUAACCUCCUAUAAGACUGGGAUAACUUCGGGAAACCGGAGCUAAACCGGAUACUUAUAGCUGGAGCCGCGCUGCAUUAGCUAGUUGGUAAGGUAACGGCUUACCAAGGCAACGAUGCAUAGCCGACCUGAGAGGUGGAUCGGCCAACAUGGAACUGAGACACGGUCCAGACUCCUACGGGAGGGCGCAGUAGGGAAGCUUCGGCCAUGGGGGGAAAGCUGACCGAGCAACGCCGCGUGAGUGAAGAAGGGUUUCGGAUCGUAAAGCUCUGUUGUGAAGGAAGCGGUACUUAACCAGAAAGGGACGGCUAACUACGUGCCAGCAGCCGCGGUAAUAC